rnacentral:rRNA from 1 species
UACGUAGGGGGCAAGCGUUGUCUGGAUUUAUUGGGCGUAAAGAGCGUGUAGGCGGCCUGAAAGGUCAGCUGUGAAACUCGAGGCUCAACCUCGAGACGUCGGUUGAAACCAUCUGGCUAGAGUCCGGAAGAGGAGAGUGGAAUUCCCGGUGUAGCGGUGAAAUGCGCAGAUAUCAGGAGGAACACCGGUGGCGAAGGCGGGUCUCUGGGCCGAUACUGACGCUGAGGAGCGAAAGCGUGGGGAGCGAACAGG